UGGAAGAGUUUGAUCAUGGCUCAGAUUGAACGCUGGCGGCAGGCCUAACACAUGCAAGUCGAGCGGUWGARAGGAGCUUGCUUUUYUUGWSAGCGGCGGACGGGUGAGUAAUAGCCUAGGAAUCUGCCURKUAGUGGGGGAUAACGUUYGGAAAGCGRACGCUAAUACCGCAUACGUCCUACGGGAGAAAGCAGGGGACCUUCGGGCCUUGCGCUAUUCAGAUGAGCCUAGGUCGGAUUAGCUAUGUUGGUGRGGUAAUGGCUCACCAAGGCGACGAUCCGUAACUGGUCUGAGAGGAUGAUCAGUCACACUGGAACUGAGACACGGUCCAGACUCCUACGGGAGGCAGCAGUGGGGAAUAUUGGACAAUGGGCGAAAGCCUGAUCCAGCCAUGCCGCGUGUGUGAAGAAGGUCUUCGGAUUGUAAAGCACUUUAAGUUGGGAGGAAGGGCAUUAACCUAAUACGUUGGUGUUUUGACGUUACCGGCAGAAUAAGCACCGGCUAACUCUGUGCCAGCAGCCGCGGUACC
rnacentral:rRNA from 1 species